rnacentral:snRNA from 1 species
UUGAUCUUCUGAGAAGGGUUCGAG